GAAAUGCUUUGGCCCACAAGAGUUCCUGUCUUAAUAGGUACCAUAUGAGCAGAGAGCAGCCUGUGGGCUGCGGUAGAUUUAUCUGUCUGGGAGAGAGCAGAAGAUGCUCAGGUUUGAGAGAACCUCUGCUGACCUCUUUUCAUGAAUGCUCACUCCCACUAUUAUUGGAGGUAGUGCAGAGGAGGGCGGAAUGGAGAUUUACAGAGUGGUGACAGUCUCGGACCUGUCUAAAGCCUCCAGCUUGAAGCUACAGCUUGAAACGGCUUCCAGAACGUAAGGGAGCAAUUUCAUUAAAUCCCUCUUAUUUAUAGGAAUCAUAUACUCGUUGGAGAUAGUAUUUCAACAGAUGUAUGUGCUUUGCACAACUGACCCAAAUUACUAUUCUCCACACAGCUCUUUAAGAUAAAGAAUUAUAGUGAAAAGAAACAGGAACUACGUUUUUUCUCUCCACAUUGUAUGGCUAAAUGAUGCAGGGAAUCUUGACUUGGUGUCAUAGGUUAACCUCUACUAACCCUGUCAAGAGGCAACGGCGUGGAGGCGUUCAUUCCGUCACAUGUGGCUUCUUAAAUGCACUGCAUUGUUUGUAUACAGUGUACAUUCAGAAUGCUCAGAGGAAUACAGAGGUGGUGAAUGAGCUUUAGUGUCUCUGACCUUGGCCAAACCUCCUGCACAGAUGGAAAAGUUCAGUGUCAAGUCUACGGGCAUUAAGAUUUGAAUCCCUCUUUUUCAUUGUGGUAAUUUUCUCUGUGAUUUCUGUUCAUCUCUUGCUGCAGGGUCAAGCUCUGAUUUCUUUAAAUAAAAUGUAAAAACAUCA